CCUCUCAGAUUAAUGGCCUCUUUUUUAUUAUUAUUGUAUAUAUAUAUGUGUGUGUGUGUGUGUAUAUAUAUAUAUAUAUAUCAACACCAUUGUGCAUACAUAUAUUC
ensembl:miRNA Gm26238 predicted gene, 26238